GCAACGGAUAUCUCGGCUCUCGCAUCGAUGAAGAACGCAGCA
rnacentral:rRNA from 1 species